UACGGGGGGAGCAAGCGUUGUUCGGAUUUACUGGGCGUAAAGGGCGCGUAGGCGGCUUAACAAGUCACUUGUGAAAUCUCUGGGCUUAACCCAGAACGGCCAAGUGAAACUGUUAUGCUAGAGUGCAGAAGGGGCAAUCGGAAUUCUUGGUGUAGCGGUGAAAUGCGUAGAUAUCAAGAGGAACACCUGAGGUGAAGACGGGUUGCUGGGCUGACACUGACGCUGAGGCGCGAAAGCCAGGGGAGCAAACGGG
rnacentral:rRNA from 1 species